UUGGUUAGAAAUAGCUUGGUGUUCAAGUCUAGAUGGUGCUUUGUAAAAUUCAUUUUGGAGAGAGCUUUGAUCAUGAAGGCGGAGCUUUCUGAAGUGACCUUUACAUCUCCGAAGACCUGAGGCUCUCCUUCUGCUCAUGUAGCAAUCAUCGGGUGUUUAUUUCUUGGGAGCCCCUACCUCCGCUGCAUGUAUCUGAAGGUAAAUUUUUAUGGAAGUGUUCAAGGCUGACAUGGCGGGGCAAGAUUCAUGAUCC
rnacentral:lncRNA from 1 species